rnacentral:rRNA from 1 species
UACGAAGGGGGCUAGCGUUGUUCGAAAUUACUGGGCGUAAAGCGCACGUAGGCGGAUCCUUAAGUCAGGGGUGAAAUCCCGAGGCUCAACCUCGGAACUGCCUUUGAUACUGGGGAUAUCGAGUCCGGGAGAGGUGAGUGGAACUGCGAGUGUAGAGGUGAAAUUCGUAGAUAUUCGCAAGAACACCAGUGGCGAAGGCGGCUCACUGGCCCGGUACUGACGCUGAGGUGCGAAAGCGUGGGGAGCGAACAGG